rnacentral:rRNA from 1 species
AUUGAACGCUGGCGGCAUGCCUUACACAUGCAAGUCGAACGGUAACAGGUCUUCGGAUGCUGACGAGUGGCGAACGGGUGAGUAAUACAUCGGAACGUGCCCGAGAGUGGGGGAUAACGAGGCGAAAGCUUUGCUAAUACCGCAUCCGAUCUCAGGAUGAAAGCAGGGGACCGCAAGGCCUUGCGCUCACGGAGCGGCCGAUGGCAGAUUAGGUAGUUGGUGGGAUAAAAGCUUACCAAGCCGACGAUCUGUAGCUGGUCUGAGAGGACGACCAGCCACACUGGGACUGAGACACGGCCCAGAGUCCUACGGGAGGGAGCAGUGGGGAAUUUUGGACAAUGGGCGCAAGCCUGAUCCAGCCAUGCCGCGUGCAGGAUGAAGGCCUUCGGGUUGUAAACUGCUUUUGUACGGAACGAAAAGACUCUGGUUAAUACCUGGGGUCCAUGACGGUACCGUAAGAAUAAGCACCGGCUAACUACGUGCCAGCCGCCGCGGUAACAC